rnacentral:lncRNA from 1 species
UUUUUCACUCUCCUCUUUCACUUUCACUUUCACUUUCACCAAGAGGUUCUUUAGUUCUUCGCUUUCUGCUAUGAGGGUGGUGUCAUCUGCAUAUCUGAGGUUAUUGAUAUUUCUCCCAGCAGUCUUGAUUACAGCUUGUCCUUCAUCCAACCCAGCGUUUCUUAUGAUGUACUCUGCAUAUAAGUUAAAUAAACAGAGUGACCAUAUACAGCCCUCACAUACUCCUUUUCCUAUUUGGAACCAGUCUGUUGUUCCAUGUCCAGCUCUAACUGUUGCUUCCUGACCUGCAUACAGAUUUCUCAAGAGGCAGGUCAGGUGGUCUGGUAUUCCCAUCUCUUUAAGAAUUUUCCAGUUUGUUGUGAUCCACACAAAGGCUUUGGCAUAGUCAAUAAAGCAGAAAUAGAUGUUUUUCUGGAACUCUCUUGCUUUUUCGAUGAUCCAGCGGAUGUUGGCAAUUUGAUCUCUGGUUCCCUUGCCUUUUCUAAAUCCAGCUUGAACAUCUGGAAGUUCACAGUUCACAUACCGUUGAAAUGCAGCCAAUAAUAAAUAUUUAAAAAAGAAUUCAGAAAGGCUAUGGCAGGACUGGCUCAGGGCCUCGGCUGAGAAGGUUGGGUGGCUACAGGAGACUUCAGGGCUGGGCCAGGAGUCACAUGGAGACACCCUUACCCAGGUGCCCAGGUAUGCUGGCUAGUGUCCAGGCCUCCAGUGUGGCGGAUUCCAGGGCACCUGCACAUGGCCUCUGUGUGACCUCGGCUCUCAGCUUGGAGGUCUCAGGGUCAACCUUCCUACCCCGAACCUGAGUGUCCCAGGUAACAAGACUUUUUCUGCCCUAGCUUCAGAAGUUCUGAACUGUCACUCCUUUUGAAUUCUAUUAUUUAGAAGCAAAUCACAGUCCUGGCAGAUUAAUGGGGAGGAUGACUAGACCCCAGCUCUUGAGCGGAGAAUGAAGAGUGUGGGUCUCCCCUACCCAGCACGGGGCCGUGGACCUGAGCAGAGACCAGCUAGACAUGGGUGGAGGUUCUUUUUCCUCUUGUUUCUCCUUCCCCUGCACCAUGGCCUUGAAGUGGAGCUCCAUGUGAGGCCCAGUAGACAUGUGGGGAACUGCUACCCAGCAGUAACAUCUAAACUUCUUUUGAGUGGUGAGCUUCCCGUCCUUGGAGGAGUUCAAGCAGAAACUGAAGGAGAUCCCAGCCCAAAUGAAACAGGAGGUCGUGUGGACUCCAGUCCUGUGAUCUCCCACCUGCUCCUGUUUCUCCAAGUCCUAUUUGCACCCACCCAGGCUGUAUGA